CGCAGCACUUAGUAUGAAUGUGUGUGUUUUUACCACGGUGCCAGAAGAACCAGAGAGAAGCCCCAAAGAGGAAUGUAAAUGAAACAGCGCACAGCUGGGAAGGUGUUUCCUCCUGUACACUGGUUUGUACACUGGUUUGUACCCCAGUACUGUAUGGGACAUCCGGAGCGGACUGAACUCCAGACCAGUGUCAGUGCCAGUGUCCAAAAAGCUCCUCGCGCUCCAUGAUCAUGUUCCUCCCAACUCUUUUUUGUUCUUUUUCUUCUUUCUUUUUAGUGUCUGAAUGAGGAGGGAAGAAGAAGAGCAGAAUCACAUUUCGGACCUUGGACUGGCCGGGGGGGGGGGUAGAGUGCUGUCACAGCUGGAUGUUGUGGAUCACGCGCACACUCCUAUUUACUGCGCUCCCAACAUCUGGAUUUCAUCAUCAGAGCGCACCGCGCCCACAUUUACUCUGCUUUACUCUACACUCGGGUCUCUUUCGCAGUAAACCGGGGAAAGGAGAUGAUUAUAAUCAUGUGUUCGCUGCCGCCAGCAGCUCUGUGUCUCUUCGUGCUCCUCUUCACCGCUCUUCCGAGCCUCGUGACGGCCAACGUGGUCCAGGAGCGCGCCGCUCUUGAUGAAGAGAAAUUCCUUCGGCUCAGUUGUGGAACAUACCAAGAAAAUUAUGAUGUGAUCUGGAAAAAAGAAGGGCAAGAAGUUGCUAGCAUAAAGAAGGGAAUCAAAUCACUGCAGGAAAAUUUUGGCUUAACAGAGCGUGGAACCCUUGUGGUGUCCGAAGUGCGCAGGUCCGACGCAGGAGAAUACACCGCGAUGCUGCUUGACAGCUCGCAAAACAAAUUGUGUGAAAUGACUGUGCAGCUGAGUGUGUCAGAUUCCAGUGACCCCCCACCUGAGCCAACAAAGAAACCUGAGAAAAGCCCACCUAAAGAUCCCAAAGCACCACCCCCCCAUAAGCCAAAACCUGGACUGGCCAAACCUAGAGCUUCUGCUUCCAUCAUCACUGCAAGCAUCUCUGCUCAUGUGAUACUGUUAUUGGUGUGGAUUUUGGUGUGAAAAGGUUCCAGGCCAUGAUUUCCACACCUUGAGAAUUCCCAGGUCAGUCUCAGUGAGUACCUCCUGCUCGACUGAGUAUAAUGCGGUUUCCUACGGUAAAGUUACCCAUAUACGGCACAGGUCCCCUCCCCUAUUGCUGCAGUUAUAAACUCUGUCCUGUGGACUAAAACUUUAUAUUGUUGGUCAUGAAGAGCCUCCAGGUAUAAAUCCGUUCAAUUUCAUGACACAAUUAAAACAUGUUUUUUUGCAAUCUUUAAACUUCUAGCCAUUACUUGCUGUCUGUAUCAUAGCCACUUGUGCAACAUCUGACUGUGUG
rnacentral:lncRNA from 1 species